AACGUCGUCAUCAUCAUGUUUCGGUUGGUCGUCAUGCCUUUUUCAUUUGUGCAGCACAAGUGACCCAUACUAGUUGCUGCUUGCUUCUUUGAGUCAUCAACAUGCAAAGUACCAGAUUGUCGAUUCCUUUUUCUAAUUAUAUACUGUUGUGAUACCAACUGCUUCAGAUCGAUUCUGAUUCUCACCCAUUCCAGCUUAUCAUUU